GCAUCAGGUGGGAAGUGGGGUGGUUGCCGAAGUCCGAGCUGACGUAGCCAAUACGCAGUCGACCC
rnacentral:miRNA from 1 species